UUCAAACCAAUCACUGCGCAGCAUUAUUUUUUAGAGUCAAACCAAUCAGUGCGCAGAAUUUUAUUCCGCACAACAUGAACAUGGAGCCAACCGAGAACAUAAGCCCCGAGGAGCAGGAGAUGAUUCAGCUGGCAGAGGAUGCACAGAGGAGUGCUGCAUUCAAGUGAUGGGGAUUCUGGACAUUACGGGUUAAAGAAGGACGUACAGCAUCAGUUUGAAGGAGAUUAAGAAGCGUACUGAUGGGCCAGAGAGAAUGUCAGCCACAGCCCUCUGCAACUACCUGAGGAAAGGGACUACUUAAAAUGGUCCACCACAUUAGGUCCAAGGAGGAAGUGAUGCAGGAGUGGUCCAUGAUGACACACCGUCGGACCAGAGCUUUUACAAAGGCUGUUCACUUAUAUGGCAGCAUUCCUUGAUCCUCUCAAGCUCUGUCAGGUUGGAUCGGGAGUGUUUCUGAACAGCUAUUUUGAGGUUUCUCCAGAGAUCGUGUUCAAAUCCGGGCUCUGGCUGGGCUUCUUGGACAUUCAGAGACUUGUCCCGAAGCCACUCCUGCGUUGUCUUGGCUGUGUGCUUAGGGUCAUUGUCCUGUUGGAAGGUGAACCUUCGCCCCAGUCUGAGGUCCUGAGCAGGUUUUCAUCAAGGAUCUCUCUACUUUUCGCCGUUCAACUUUGCCUCGAUCUUUGCCCGUCCCUGAUACUGAAAAAAUAUCCCCACAGCAUGAUGCUGCCACAACCAUGCUUCACCGUAGGGAUGGUGCAAGGUUUUCUUCAGACAUGACACUUGGCAUUCAGGCCAAACAGUUCAAUCUUGGUUUCAUCAGAUCAGGGAAUCUUGUUUCUCAUGGUCUGAGAGUCUUUAGGUGCCUUUUGGCAAAUUCCAAGCAGACUGUCGUGUGCCUUUUACUGAUGGGUGGCUUCCGUCUGGCCACUACCAUAAAGGCCUGAUUGGUGGAGUGCUGCAGAGAUGGAAGAACCUUCCAGAAGGACAACCAUCUCUACAGAAGAAAUCUAGAGCUCUGUCCAUGACCAUCAGGUUCUUGGUCACCUCCCUUCUCCCCCGAUUGCUCAGUUUGGCCGGGCGGCCAUCUCUAGAGUCUUGGUGGUUCCAAACUUCUUCCCUUUAAGA